rnacentral:tRNA from 1 species
AAGGGUAUAGCUCAAGUGGUAGAGUGCAUGCUUAGCAUGCAUGAAGUCCUAGGUUCGAUCUCCCAGUACCUCCA